rnacentral:lncRNA from 1 species
GUGUUAUUAUCCUGAGGUGGUGUUAUUGUCCUGAGGUAGUGUUAUUGUCCUGAGGUGGUGUUAUUAUCCUGAGGUGGUGUUAUUGUCCUGAGGUGGUGUUAUUAUCCUGAGGUGUUGUUAUUAUCCUGAGGUGGUGUUAUUAUCCUGAGGUGGUGUUAUUAUCCUGAGGUGGUGUUAUUAUCCUGAGGUGGUGUUAUUGUCCUGAGGUGGUGUUAUUAUCCUGAGAUGGUGUUAUUAUCCUGAGGUUGUGUUAUUCACCUGAGGUGGUGUUAUUAGCCUGACGUGGUGUUAUUAUCCUGAGGUGGUGUUAUACCAUCCAUUGGUGUAACAGAGGGUGACAGAGGGCCCUUAUGAAAAAAGAUUGCAGUCAGAGUGCAUUAUAACUGUUGUAUGCUGCAAAUACUGCGUCCAAAACAACUGCAGUAACUGCAGUAAUUACUGCAGUAAUUUUGCAGUGUAACUGCCGUUAGAGUGCACUAACUGUGUCCAAAAUACCACAGUCGACUGCAGUUACUGCACUU